rnacentral:lncRNA from 1 species
UUUUUUUUUUUUUUUUUUUUUUUUUUGGUCUGCUUGUUUGAAAGUAUUUCUGACAUUUUCCUCACACUUCUAGGUCAUCCUUAUAGGAAGGACAACCUCCAGUAUUUCUCCGCCUUUAAUUUCCCUCCCAUUCUUAGCAGAUAAGUUGCAAUAUCAAACUUCGCUUUAUGAUGGAGAUUCGAAUGGUGGAGACUGACCGUUAUGUCCUGCUGGUGUGUAUCCCAGUUUGGAGGCCUCCCUUUCUACCUUCUUUCAUGAAGAGCCUUCAGGUGUGGUUCCGCUAGGAAUCCCCUAAAUCCUAGUCUGUGUGUGGCACCCACCACACCUCAAUGUGCAGUAAAACUCCUCUCAAAUCUCUUAAGGUCCCUAAUUGUUCAAUGUUCCUGAUGUGGAAGGCAGAUGACCAUCUGCUCAGGUCUCAUCCUACUGCAUUUAUCUCAGAUGUUUUUUCCCUAAUUAGAUAUACUCUGGUACCACAAGAACAGCUUUGUAGUAGUAUUGCACUCCAGCUUUAAUUUACAUCUUCCUCAUGGUUAAUGAUGUUGAGCAUCUUUUCAAGUCCCUGUUUUCCCUAUUUCUAUCUGUAGAUGUAUCUUCUUUGGUGAAGUGACUUGAGUAUAUAUAUAUAUAUAUAUAAAAUCUAGUCUAUAUCAGAUAUAUAAUUUGAUUUACAAACAUCUUCUGGUUAGGCUGUAGCCUAUCUUUCCAUGAUCUUUACAGGAUUUUGCAAAAAGCACGUCUUAAAAUUUGAAGAAUGAAAUCCAAAUGAUCAAUUUUUAAUUUUUGUGAACUGUGCUUUCGAUGUCAUGUGUAAGAAGACUGCCUAAGCCAAGGUCACAAAAGUUUCCUAUAUUUUUAGAGUUUGUGUAGUUUCAGGCUUUAAAUAUGAUCCAUUUUGAGGGUUUUUUUUUUUUGUAUAUUACACAUGGUAUGCCUCAAACUUUAUUUUUUCAUACAGAUAUGUAACUGUUCCAGUACUGUUCAUUAAAGACUAUCCUUUCUCCACUCAUUUCUUUUGUACCUCAUCAAAAGUCAGUUGUCAUGUACAUGUGGUCUAUUUCUAGACCUUCUGUUCUGAUCUAUUUGCCUAUCUUGAUGCCAAGAUGAUACUGUUUCAUGACUCUAACUUCAUAAGAGUUUUUGAAAUCAGAUAGUGCUUCUCCUCCAACUUUGCUCAUCUUUUUCAAAGUGACUUUGGCUCUUCUGAGAAUUUGCAUUUCCAUUUGAACAUGACAGUCAAGUGAUCACUUCUACAAAAAGCCACCCAGUGAGCCCAUCCUGCUGCCCCUGUGCGCUCUUCCUCCUUGGGCCACAUCUGGACUCAGGUGAUAAGCUGGGGCGAGGGGAGGGGGCACCUCAUCUGUUUCUCUUAUCUCAGGUGUCUCUCCUUCAUCGUCUGAUGUCCAGUGUCUUCAGAAGCAUCACUUCACACAUUUUGUCUUUCUUUUUCAGUUAUUUCAGGCAGGAGGAUAAACCCAGUC